rnacentral:rRNA from 1 species
UGGCGGCAGCUACACAUGCAGUCGAGCGGUAGCACAUAGAGCUUGCUCUCGGGUGACGAGCGGCGGACGGGUGAGUAAUGUCUGGGAAACUGCCUGAUGGAGGGGGAUAACUACUGGAAACGGUAGCUAAUACCGCAAAACGUCCCAUGACCAAAGUGGGGGACCUUCGGGCCUCAUGCCAUCAGAUGUGCCCAGAUGGGAUUAUCUGGUAGGUGGGGUAACGGCUCACCUAGGCGACGAUCCCUAACUGGUCUGAGAGGAUGACCAGCCACACUGGAACUGAGACACGGUCCACACUCCUACGGGAGGCAGCAGUGGGGAAUAUUGCACAAUGGGCGCAAGCCUGAUGCCGCCAUGCCGCGUGUGUGAAGAAGGCCUUCGGGUUGUAAAACACUUUCAGCGGGGAGGAAGGCGAUAAGGUUAAUAACCUUGUCGAUUGACGUUACCCGCAGAAGAUACCCCGGCUAGCUCCGUGCCAACAGCCCCGGUAAUACCGAUGGUGCAAGCGUUACUCGGAUUUACUGGACUUAUAGCGCACACAGGCAGUCUGUCUGGUCAGAUGUGACAUCCCCGGGCUCAACCUGGGCACUGCAUUCUAGACUGGCAGGCUAGAGUCUUGUAGAGCGGGGUAGAAUUCCAGGUGUACCUGUGAAAUGCGUAAAGAUCUGGAGGAAUACCGGUGGCCAAGGCGGCACCCUGGACAAUGACUGACGCUCUAGUGCGAAAGCUUUGAGAGCGAACAGGAUUAGAUACCCUGGUAGUCUCCGCUGUAACCGAUGUCAAUUUGGAGGUUGUGCCCUUGAGGCGUGGCUUCCGGAGCUAACGCGUUAAAUCAACAGCCUGGGGAGUACGGCCGCAAAGUUACAACUCUAAUGAAUUGACGAGGGCCCGCACAAGCGGUGGAGCAUUUGGUUUA